ACGGACAGGGAUGUCCGUGGUUCCAUGCAGUUGCGACGUUUUUGCCUAGCAAAAACUCGCGUUCAAAAAUUGACAAGGAGGUCAAUUUUUGAACUUGC
rfam:Treponema sp. OMZ 838, complete genome.